rnacentral:rRNA from 1 species
CAGUAGCCGCGGGAAUACAGAGGAUGCAAGCGUUAUCCGGAAUGAUUGGGCGUAAAGGGUGCGUAGGCGGUUUGGCAAGUUUGGUGUGAAAUCUUCGGGCUCAACUCGAAGUCUGCAUCGAAAACUGCCGGGCUUGAGUAUGGGAGAGGUGAGUGGAAUUUCUGGUGUAGCGGUGAAAUGCGUAGAUAUCGGAAGGAACACCUGUGGCGAAAGCGGCUCACUGGACCAUAACUGACGCUGAUGCACGAAAGCUAGGGGAGCAAACAGGAUUAGAUACCCCUGUAGUCCCUGUCUCUUAUAA